AUUGAACGCUGGCGGCAUGCUUUACACAUGCAAGUCGAACGGUAACAGGUUAAGCUGACGAGUGGCGAACGGGUGAGUAAUGCAUCGGAACGUGCCCGAUCGUGGGGGAUAACGCAGCGAAAGCUGCGCUAAUACCGCAUACGAUCUGAGGAUGAAAGCGGGGGACCGUAAGGCCUCGCGCGAUCGGAGCGGCCGAUGUCAGAUUAGGUAGUUGGUGGGGUGAAGGCUCACCAACCCGACGAUCUGUAGCUGGUCUGAGAGGACGACCAGCCACACUGGGACUGAGACACGGCCCAGACUCCUACGGGGGGCAGCAGUGGGGAAUUUUGGACAAUGGGCGAAAGCCUGAUCCAGCAAUGCCGCGUGCAGGAAGAAGGCCUUCGGGUUGUAAACUGCUUUUGUACGGAGCGAAAAGGCUCUCUCUAAUACAGGGGGCUCAUGACGGUACCGUAAGAAUAAGCACCGGCUAACUACGUGCCAGCAGCCGCCGCUGUAA
rnacentral:rRNA from 1 species